rnacentral:rRNA from 1 species
GACGCACGCUGGCGGCGCGCCUAACACAUGCAAGUCGAACGGAGUGGCGGACGGGUGAGUAACACGUGAGCAACCUGCCUUUCAGAGGGGGACAACAGUUGGAAACGACUGCUAAUACCGCAUACUGAAAGAUGGGCUCGCGUCUGAUUAGAUAGUUGGUGAGGUAACGGCCCACCAAGUCGACGAUCAGUAGCCGGACUGAGAGGUUGAUCGGCCACAUUGGGACUGAGACACGGCCCAGACUCCUACGGGAGGCAGCAGUGGGGAAUAUUGGACAAUGGGGGAAACCCUUGUCCAGCGACGCCGCGUGAGGGAAGAAGGUUUUCGGAUUGUAAACCUCUGUCAGUGGGGACGCGGUACCCACGGAGGAAGCCACGGCUAACUACGUGCCAGCAGCCGCGGUAAUACGUAGGUGGCAAGCGUUGUCCGGAAUUACUGGGUGUAAAGGGAGCGUAGGCGGGGUAUCAAGUCAGAAGUGAAAAUUAUGGGCUCAACUCAAACCUGCUUUUGAAACUGAUAUUCUUGAGUGAAGUAGAGGCAAGCGGAAUUCCUGGUGUAGCGGUGAAAUGCUUAGAUAUUAGGAGGAACACCAGUGGCGAAGGCGGCUUGCUGGGCUUUUACUGAUGCUGAGGCUCGAAAGCGUGGGGAG